rnacentral:rRNA from 1 species
GAUGAACGCUGGCGGCGUGCUUAACACAUGCAAGUCGAACGAGAAUCAACGGAUUGAGGAUUCGUCCAAAUGAAGUUGAGGAAAGUGGCGGACGGGUGAGUAACGCGUGAGGAACCUGCCUCGGAGUGGGGAAUAACAGUUGGAAACGACUGCUAAUACCGCAUAAUGCUUUUGAGCGGCAUCGCUUGAAAGCCAAAGAUUUAUCGCUGAGAGAUGGGCUCGCGGCCGAUUAGGUAGUUGGUGAGAUAACGGCUCACCAAGGCGACGAUCAGUAGCCGGUCUGAGAGGAUGAACGGCCACAUUGGGACUGAGAUACGGGCCCAG